rnacentral:rRNA from 1 species
CAUGCAAGUCGAACGAUGAACCUCCUUCGGGAGGGGAAGAGUGGCGAACGGGUGAGUAACACGUGGGCAAUCUGCCCUGCACUCUGGGAUAACUCCGGGAAACCGGAGCUAAUACCGGAUACGAUCCUCCAGGGCAUCCUGGGGGGUGGAAAGCUCCGGCGGUGCAGGAUGAGCCCGCGGCCUAUCAGCUGGUUGGUGGGGUGAUGGCCCACCAAGGCGACGACGGGUAGCCGGCCUGAGAGGGCGACCGGCCACACUGGGACUGAGACACGGCCCAGACUCCUACGGGAGGCAGCAGUGGGGAAUAUUGCACAAUGGGCGCAAGCCUGAUGCAGCGACGCCGCGUGAGGGAUGACGGCCUUCGGGUUGUAAACCUCUUUCAGCAGGGAAGAAGCGUGAGUGACGGUACCUGCAGAAGAAGCACCGGCUAACUACGUGCCAGCAG